UACCCUGAGAUGUCAAUUUGUUUCUGUCUUGUCUUUUUUUUAAAUUUGUGAUUCAAGAAGAAUUCUAUGAAACAGAAAUUCUAGAAUAUGUUCUGAAAUAAAGGGAUGUCACAAUCAAAGUUUUCUAAGCAAAGACACUUCCCUUCAAAAGAACUCAAUUGCUGACUAUAAGAUGCUGAAUUAUUUUACUAUUGAAGGAAGUGCUUUGUUUAGAAAAAUGACUUGCUGAUGCCAAGAAGAAGAGGAAUGUCAUGUGAAAAGGAACAGGA
rnacentral:lncRNA from 1 species